ACUCAAAGAGUGCAAGGUGUCCAGGUCCUGUGGCUGCAAAACAAGCCCAAAUCAUCACCCCUCCACCUCCAUUGUUGACGACAAAGAGGAUGGCAAUAAGAGCACUCUGGACAACUGAGGAUAACAAGCAACACUGAAUAGCAAAGCAAGUCAGUCCAGAAA